GCAAUUGUGUGGUUUUAUCAGAAGAAAAGAGGCCAGCCAACUGCUGAAUGCAUGCUCCAUAAUUAAAUAAGCCUGUAGUCCUUAAGUGGGGGAAGAGGAACUAUGAUGCUCUGUGCUUCAUGGGAAGAUUUGUCAUGGGGAAAAUCUAUGAUGAUAGGAAUAUCAAAGAGCCUACAGCAAAGGAAAUGGUCAUUAGAAAUGUAUUCUCAGGGCAGAAAACCUUUCCGGCUCUCAUUGUUCUAUGACAUAGACUACAUUCUUGCACUUACAUCCUCAAACCAAACUAUGUUUAAAGGAGUGAGUAAUUCUAUAUGGCUCACUGUGCCAUACACUGUUCGAAAAAACAGAAAAAAGUGAUGGAAACCUACACAAAAAAUCCUUAGUAGAAUGCAGAUGGAUAAAGAAUAUGAAAUUACGACGCUCUAUUCAAAGGAUUUAAACACUCAUCUCACAGCCAAAUCCUAUCCCUGAUUUCUACGGGGAAUGUCUAAAGUAUGUUCUCCUUCACAGACAUAGGAAAAAUACUACAGGACACUGUUAGAUGGCACAUCACAUUAUACACAAAUUGACAAAAUAAUUAAAGUUCAAUAAUAAUUAAAGUUCAAUAGUUAAAAUUCAAUAAAAAUCUGUUUACCUUGUUUGUAGACACUGAACUCUGCUUUGUAACUUUUUACCAACAGCUGAUAGAUAAGACUUUACUAGAAUGAACAUAAUUCUGUUUCUAAAGUCUUUUUCGUCUCAUAUGUAUUUACAUAGAGCAUGGCCUUGAGCUAAUUUUUUUUAGUUCUUGUUCUUCCGUAUUAGCCCUAUUCAAUUUUAUUGUAUUAUAUUUAAGAUUUAAAAUAAUAAUGAUUAUUAACAAUUACUGUACUAUUUAUGUUCUUCUGUUAUUCAUUACAUCUCAUUUCCCUUCAACCACUCUAUGCAGCUCUCCCCAAAUAUGUCUCCUCUCACCCCAGAUCCACUCCUCUUCCCAUUCUCUUAAAAAACAAUGUGAAACAAAACUAAACAAAACAAAGAGCUGCUUCCCCAAGGAUGUGUCAGCAGAGCACCCGAUCUUAGCAUAAAAAGUUACAGUAAAGCUAGGAUCAAAACCUCUCAUUAAAGCUGGGCAAUGCACGAAGUAUAGACAGUGUGUUGAUGGGUGGUAUGUUUCCUUGUUAACAAUUAUCUUUAAAUCUCUUCUGACAAGUGGAUUUAGAGAACUACAGUAAUUCGCAAAAGAUGCUUUCUAGAUAAUACUGUGGAAUCCUUUUCCUUUCAUUACUGUCAACAAUAACUAAGAUCUAAUUGUGGAGUGCUUCUCCAAUCAAUAGACCCCUUACAGGAAGUAAGUCAUAAAAUCUCUACUCUCUAUGGUGCCACUCCCCCUCCUCCACCCCUCUAUCCCCAGCUCCCAGGCUUUAGGGAGAGACUCUUAAUAUGGUGAAACUACAAGGACCAAAAUUCCUUUCGGUUUUCAACUUCCCCUGGUACCAAGCCUAAAAGUGGCAUCUGCCUUCCUUAACUUACUGUACUUGGAGGAAGACAAAACAGUGCUUUGCUUUUUCCGUUUUGAGGUUCAGGAUAUUUUCUUUUGAAUGAAUUUGUAAUUAUAUGAAUAGUAUAAGUCUGCCUUUUUUUUCGUUAGUCUUGUUUUCUUCAAAUAUAGAUUUACAAAUAUAUUUUGCUUUUCAAAAUAAGGGAGUAAAGAGUCAGCUUUAAUUGGGGGAUUACAGAAGUCACGAGUCACUUCGCAUAAUUUCAAAAUGAAAUUUUUUUUCGAAUUUUUAGCAGAUUGGUAGACUGUUUUAUUUUUUACAGUCAAUUUACAUGUGAUUCUUUAAAAGGAAUGUGGUUGUCUAACACAGUGCAUGCUUUGUAUUCUGCAGUUCUUUUAUAUAUCUGCCAAUAUUUAUCUAAGCACAGAAGUAUGAGACAGACAUUAUAGGAGAUGAUUGCUUCAGUAACAUAUAGUUUGUCCUUAAGGAUUAUACCAAUUACAGUGGAUGGGGAUGGUCUCACUGAUUUUAUGCAAUUAUUUGCCUUUUUUUCAUUUAAUAUUUAUUACUCUUUUUUGACUGUCAGUAAAGCAGUUUGUUAUGAAAGCAAAAGAAACUUCAACAUAGUCUUUUUUAAAGACGUUUUGAUUAUAUAAGAGUAUAGCAUAGAAUCUUAGCCAUUAAUUUAUAGCCGAAGAACAACUGAAGGAAAAAUGACUAGAAAAUGACUAACUACUGAGAAAGGCUGACUCAAGAAGGAUCAGAGGGAGAAGAAACCAUCCUGAAAAGAGGAGGGAGAGAAACACACUCAGAUAUGCAGACAAGUGGAUUCUUGCUUAUAGAGAAAUGGUUCUUGCAAAGCAAAGGGUAAAAGCAGAUCUAUGUAGUACUUUACAAGCUAUAUCACAAAACCAUUCUUAUAGAUGGUUAAUGUGGUUUAUCAUUCACUCCAAUAGCAAAAGACCAAUGAGGUGUGCCCAGAUAAAGUGAGAAAAAUGAAGCAGUUGUAGAUAGCAUCUGAGAAUACAUAUAUUAGAGCAGAUAGACUAUUUCAGGGUCUAAAAAUGGUUCUUAUUAAUAUUGAAUUAUAUGUUAAAAUAUACAUAUAUCCUAAAUAUAAGGUUCUGUAUCCUGGAGGAAAUUUGAUUGAGAAGGGAAAUACUGUCAUUUUUAGGACAUUUAAGUGUUUUGUUGUUGCUGCUGUUCUUGUAUCUGCUGUAACUGUUUUACCUGAUACUUUCAGGCAUCUAAUUCUAAAGCUUUGUUCCUAUGUGUCAAAUGCUCUACUUGUGUUCAACGGUGUCAUUCCAAUAAUUCAAGUGCUUUUUCCCCAAAGGUAGAUCUUCCUUUUUUAAACAUAAUACCCCUUUCCAAUAAACAACCCUAAUAUGUUUCAUGAAUUCUACCAUCAAAUAUGAACUGUGCCUAAAUUGUUGUGUUUACUCUGAUUCUCAACAUCAUCAUUCCAAAAUAAAAUUGAAUAUAAAAUUCCUUGAAAAUUCCCAUUCACUGGAAUUUCUGAUAUACUUGUGGAGGUAUGCUGAGAUUUGUAGCCAAUCUUAAGGACCAGGGGAUUUCUGGAAAGAGGGGAAAGAAUUAUUUCUCAGUCCUCACAAGUGGUGAUGAAAAUUGUGUGAAAAUGACCUGUAAUUUCUGUCAAAACAGUGUGUCAUUCUUUUUGCUUUCUGCAAUUUCCUCCAGUAGCCAACUACUUUAUGACAUAGUUAUUUAAACUAUUGGCAUCUAAGGAAUCAAGUACUACUUUCUCUUACCUAAGUAGAAAUGUUACAUAUCUUUGGGCUAUUUUAGUCAAUGCUCAACCUGUAGACAAAAUUGUUUAGUCUCUAAUAUCCUCUGAAGGUGAUAGUCACUUUCAAAAACAUAUUUUCACGUGGCCAGGUUUUAAUAUUAAUAUUUUAUAUUGUCAUUAAAACCUCCCCUUUCCCCAAUGGAUUUCUCAGUCUUCAGUGAAAUGAAAAUCAAAAUGAUCCUGUGAUUCUACCUCACAUUACUCAGAAUGGCUAAGUCUAAAAAACUCAGGUGACAGCAGAUGCUGGUGAGGAUGAAGAGAAAGACGAACACUCAUUCAUUGCUGGUUGGACUGGAAGAUGGUACAACCACUCUGAAAAUCACUCAGAAAAUUGGACAUAGAACUGCCUCAGGCCCAGAUAUACCACUUCUGGUCACAUACCGGAGAGAUGCUCCUACAAAUAACAAGGGCACCUGGCCCACUCUGCUCAUAGCCUUAUUUAUAAUAGCCAGAAGCUGGAAAGAACACGGAUGCCCUUCCACAGAGGAAUGAAUACAGAGAAUUUGGCUUAUAAAAAAAUCACUGAAUUCUUUAAGGUACAUAAUUAGUAAAGUGUUUGAAAUGCAAUGUGACAGAUAUUUUGAUAUUCAAUAUUUGGUAAAGUACUUGCCUAACUAAACAGAUUUGAGCUUGAACUUCAUCAAAAUGCAGGUUACAUUGUGAAAACAAGGAAGAGCAGAUCACAGGAGGUAGACACGCAAAAAUAUGAAUCUCAAGAUCAUCCUAAGCAAGUCUAUGAACUGACUGAGUCCAUUUCAAAGGAAAGCUUUGUACAAGCUUGACAAUUAUUCUACAGAUUCACCCAAGAGCAACAAGUUACGAAGGCAUCGAGAAAGCAUGGACAACAGCUGAGUCUUAUCACUGUGUGGCAGGGAUGGAUUUCUGGAAGACAUGCAAGAAGAGGCUACUGAUGAGAGUGCACCCCAGUUGCAACAAGUGGCUGCAUUUCUAAGGAAAAGUGACCCUUGCUCAUCCAGCAGUCAUCAGUACUAAUGGAACCCAGGAUUAUUUCCAAGAAGUGCAAAUAUGGGAUGAAAUUUUUCUUUUGAAGAAUUCGAUUGGUUGGCUGAGGAGAGAAUUCAAUGGAUUACCCAUUUAUGAAGUUGAGAUUUGGACUUUCUAUCUUUGUGAUGAACUGAGUUGGAGUUUUGAUGGGGAAUUGCACUGGAACUGUAUAUUGCUUUUGGGUCGUCUUCCACCCACUCCCAGAUCACCUCUCUAGCAUCUCCCAAUAUUGGGACAUGAAGCCUCCACAGGACCAAGGGCCUCUGCUUCCAUUAAUGUCAGAUAAUUAUGUAUAUUUCUGGGUGCAAUUAUUGUGCUUUAUUGAAAUUCUGAGUUUAUUUAAAACAUGAAUGUCUGUCAUGAUAUUUAUAUGUGACCACCAUUAUUGUAAUAACCAUACAACUGUAAAAAUUGUUAGAACUCUACCCUUAAAUGAAGAACAAGAACAUUAAACUGAACAUUCAUGGCAAUGUCUCCUGU
ensembl:lncRNA